rnacentral:tRNA from 1 species
UGGCGUUGGUGCUGGCGUUGGUGCCGGUGCUGGUGCUGGCGUUGGUGCCGGUGCUGGUGCUGGCGUUGGUGCCGGCUCCGGCGCCGCCAGC